UCUAGUGCUUAAACACCUUGAUCUCAGCUAACAGAAUCUGCCUCCUGCCACAAUGCCAAGCUUUGGAGAAGAAAGUACAUGGUAGCCACUCUUGCAAAUUAAAAUGAGACCACCUUCCUGUAUAAUGAAAAUCUGAUGAGGUGAUAGUGGUGGGUGGUCCUCCUUUAUACAGUAUCAUAGAGAUGUGAGCAUAGUUUCAGGAUGGAGAAAGACUGCAAUUUCAUUUCCUCUUAUGCCUGGGGAUAGAGGAGGAUUUAAAUUCCCAUCCAUCACUUCCACAUUUUUGUGAGGUGAGGACUUUCAUGAGUGCUCCUGCUUCAAGUGAUCUGGAGCACAGCAAAGAGAUAACUAAUGAGGCAACCUCAGUACAGAAAUCCCACUGCUCAGAGCAGCCAGCUCUGAGAGCAAAAAAAUCAUCACAGUUCAUGUCCACCUCAAUGCAUUUUACAUCAGCCUAUUUCUGGCCCAGGUGUGAAGUUCUGAAAUAAAAGGACAGUGCAAAUGACAUUUUUAAGAAGUUCCUGCUCAGCAUCUGAGGUCAUGUACAUUCUGGGAGCAGCCACUGUGGUGUGAGGCUCCUCCAUACCGUAUCCCUCCAUCCCUGGGCACAGGCUGUGAAAGAAGACGUCAGCUGUGUUGCUUCAUGUAAUUGGAGAACCUUCUGGAUGAGAAGGCGGCCCAAAACUUCAAGAUUCUGCAAACAAGGUAAAAAUUAAUAAAUCAAGCUUCAGAUUUAGAGGUCUCCAAUGCUAGAUGGCAGCUGAGCAGGGAUUUCAGGAUAUUGAUUCAGACACCUGACUGACAUUUUUGGUUCUUCAUGUUAUUUUUCAGAUCUAAUAUCAGACACCUGAAAAUUCAGGCAUUUGCAGUCACAUAGAGCACAGCUGGGUGCCUCACGCAUCUUGUUCAAAACCACCUAAGUCUACACUAGAGCUAGAAAUUAAAUGUUAUGGUGAAAUCCCACCUGUGGCCCUAAGCCUCAGAAGCUGCUGUCUUUGUUAUAGGGAUUUGUCUCACUGUCACACCUGUGAGAAGGCCAUCAAGGACAGCUGCAGCCUCCAGAAGACCUAACUCUCCACUAAUACUCUCAGCCAAGGACCAUCUUGUUACAGCUGAGUUUCCUCAGGAAGGCUUCACUGAAAGUAUUCUUGCCUGAGCUGACUUGAUGCUUUUGCGCGAGAUUCAAACAACUUCUAGUCAGGACCUCAGGGAGUUACUAUGCAGUGCCCUUCAUUUUGAAGGAAAUGGUACAAUCAAUGAUCUGUACUUCUUUCUUGGGAAAAGAAGAGAUAUUUGCACUAACAAUUAACAUUCAUCGACAAAAGACAGCUUACAGAAAAUGCUCAUGGAGUUAAAAGAAAUCAUAUUUUGUGAUUACACUGGCUGUUGUGGAUGAUUCCAUGAAGUAUUACAAUAUCAGGAAUUUCAGGUGAGCAUUGAAAGAAGGCUUCUAAUUCAACAAUAAUGCAAAAGAACCACCUAAACCACUGAUGUUUGAAGAAGCUACUCUGAUUUCUUCAUAUCCACAGUUAAAAAGAAGAGUCUGAUCUGGAGAAUCUAAGUCCAUGAUACAAUAAACCUUGCCUCAUCACCACACAUUACUUCAUAGAGUAGCCAAGUCAACAUAUAAAUAACAGUAGCUUUCUCACAAAUAGAAACUGCUGCUGGAAACGCAUUUCCUACUUUUAGUUACUCAUCUCUGAUCAGUUGUAUAAGAUUUGCUUUCAAAGGAAAUAUUUGUUCCUAAAUGGCUGUUGGAAUUACAGUUGAUGUGGUUAAUUGUCAGGAAAGCACAGGUGGCAAACGACUCAACAAGCCUCACACACCCUUUGGCGAGACCCAAAGGGAAAAAGAAAGAAAAAGAAAACCGCUGUUACAGUCAAAAUCUGAAAUAUAUUCCACACAGAACACCCUUUUGGUACUUGGAGUGAAAUACUGAAUUUAAAAGAACAAAAUGGUAGAAGUGUGCCUAGAGAUGCAUUUAUACAAAACAACUGAAGUUUACUUCCAUAGUCCUUCGGUCUGAAGGAUAUACUUUUCUGAGCAGAAGCUAGUUUUUGAAGUAACUUCUGUGUUGGUUUUUUUUCCCCCUCCCCAUCUACCCUACAACUGUCUACUGUGUUGUCCAGCUGAGCUACAGAGAGCUGUAAUCAAUACUUCCUACUCGCACAGAAUCAGGGAAAACUUGAAAUAGUCUUGUUUAUAUCUUUGUUCACUAUCAUGGAAGGUAAGUUUUGGAGUUAUGUUUUUACAACUACUCAAUCAAGGAAUAAUUGUAGGCUACAUUAUAAAGCCAUUUCUGUGGCAUUAUUUGCAUCAAACCUACCAAUAUUCUGGGGAAGUAAGACUGCUCAUCUCCAUUUCCUAACUGGAACUACCUUUGCACACCUGGGGCUUUGUCUUGCCAGCCCUACCACAUGCAGAAUGACAUCCACAGCAGUCUUCCCAUCAGUAACAGCGCAUACAUCCAAAUGAGCAAAUUCACACAGAUGCUUAAGUAUUUGCACAACCAAAGAGCUUUUAAAGCUAGUAAUAUUAAAAACUCAAGGGGAAGUUCAAGCACGACAAGACAAAGACACCAGGAAGCAGUGUGCAGCACGACUGUCAGUGAGCAUGGAACUGCUGUGUGAUGUGUCUGCCUCACCACUUGCUGAGUCAGUGCUGCUCACAGAUUUUCAGGGGGAAAUUGAGGCCAAGCUUUGGGCUGGAUUCCAUCUGCUUUGUUUGGACAAGGGCACUUUGAGAAAGAGCUUCCACAGUGCUUCUUGCGCCCUCCCCAUGAACAGGCAACGUCGGAUCCUCCACACUCCCACCAGAGACCUCAGAUCAAGAUUCCAGCCUUAUUCAGAUAGAAAUGCAAAUAGACACUUAACUUCAAGUACACUGGGAGUGUUGAGGAUUUUUUCCAAGUGGCUCAACUUCAAACUUCAGCACAGGCCUUGGGCUGAACCAGAAGCUCUGCAGAAGGAUCACACCUCCACUUCUCUACCUUAAAGAACGAGCUCAGAGAACAGCACUUCCAUCUAUUCUCUCCCCUUCUCUUUUUUGAGCAACAGAAAAAUGUUGAGCUACACACACACAAGAAAGGUCUGUUUUCCCCAAGAGAUUCUUUGAUUAAAGAAAAAAAAAACAACUGUAGAAAUCCCAGUGUAGACUGCAGAAAGUAAAUUAUUACAGCAAAACAAAAAUGAGAAGCUAAGCAGUAGUGACGCGCUCCUAUGGCAAUUCUAGUCCGCACGUUAUGAGCCAGGGCUUUAAAAACCAGCCUGCUUAUAAAUGUUUCCAGUGGUGUUCAUAGCACCUAUUGAAUAACACUGCCUAAUCAACAGGUAGGGGAAAAAAUAAAGACCCACCUGUUAAAGAAUUCAACAGUCAUUAGCUGCUGGGGUAAGAAAUCCCUGUAAGGACACAGAAGAAACAGAACCACCCUUAGAAAAAAACAAAACAAACAAACAAAAAAAACCAGGAACAAUGAAAACCCACUUCUGCAAAUAAUGGAGUUGCAGGAGACAGAAUAAAUCCCCAGCAUAACUUGCAGAACAACAUAUUCCAAGUAUCUACAAUUUAAGCAUUGAACACCUGAACUGCAGGUGCCAGAGGGGCAGACAGGUUUUGUAAUGCAGCUGACUGCAUGCCAGGCUGCUUUGCUGCGAGCAAAGCCCUCUGCUCAGCUCUCUGUCCUACAAGGCUGUGCAAGCUCUGGGAUUCUUUGUUAAGGCCCUUAUGCCUGCAUAGGAAUUGAUCCCAAGAGGCAUGACCGGUACAGGGAAGCACCAAGAUCAGCACAAGACAUGAUUUCGGUUGGUCAAAGAAGCUUUGCUCUUUGUUCUCAAACAGAUCAGGUCUUUUAAUUAAACAAAGGGGAAAAAAAAAA